UUAUCAUACCUCUCUUUAAUCUAUGUAUAAUUAUUGCUUACUAAUAUUAGUAUAAGUAAAUAGUAAUAAUACAAUUUGUUUAUUUGUUAUAAUCAGAGUUAAAUAUGUCUAAAAACUACAAGCAAAAAUUUCGAGAUUCCUGGAUGAAAGACCCCUGUUUUAAGAAAUGGUUAAGUAUAGUGGACUCAACAGAAGGGCGGAUUGCGAAAUGUAAGGCAUGUGGUAACAGACUGCAAAAUAGGUAUGCUGAUCUUAAGGCCCACAGCAUUUCGAAAUAACACAAAAUGAAUGUCAAAAGUUUUCGGCAAAUCGCAACAAAAAAGUCAAUUUAAAAAGGACUCUGAACUAUAUGACCAAAAAAGGGCUGAAGCAAAACUAGCAUUAUAUGUUGCCAAUCACACAUCAAUAAAUGCAUGUGAUCAUCUUACCAACGUAUGUAAAAAUUCAUUCAAAGGACACUCGGUUGCUGAUGCACUCAGUAUGCAUAGAACCAAAUGUACAAAUGUUAUAAAAAAUGUCCUGGCCCCUCAUUUAAUAAAUUAUCUAAGAAAUGAUAUUGGGGAAUCACCAUAUAGCCUUCUGUUAGAUGAGGCAACAGACAUAAGUAUUAAAAAAUAUUUGGGCAUUAUCAUAAUAUAUUACAGCAAGAGUAAAAAUAAAAUUGUAGAAACAUUUCUCGAUAUGCCUGAACUUAGGAAUGUGGAUGCUGAAGGUGUGUAUGCCACUCGUUACAGCUAGCCGUUAGUGCAGCAGCAACUGAACACCUACCGAGAAAUUUUGAAUUUUUAAUUAGGGAAACUUAUGAUUGGUUUGCUAGAUCAUCAAUAAGGCAAGAUGAAUAUAAAUUAUUAUACAAAACUAUAAAUGAUGACCAUGAUCCAAGAAAAAUUGUACAAUCAUGUCAGACUCGAUGGCUGUCCAUAGAGUCAUCAGUUUCUAGAAUCCUAGACCAGUGGCUGGAAUUAAAGACAUUUUUUGGCAUCGUAAGGAAUAAGGAAAGCUGUUAUACAGCAGAGACACUUUUUCUAUAUAUAAUGAUGACAAAAAUUAUGCUUUUAUGGCAUUACUAAAAAAUAAUUUGGUGGAGGUUCAGAGAGUAAAUAAAUUGUUUGAAUCCAAUAAUGCUGACCCGACUAAACUUUUAGAUGAAUUGACAAAUUUGUUGGGCACUCUUGUCUCAAAAAUUAAAUUGCCCCAUAUGAAAAUAGAUAUUUUUAAAGAAAAAAUUGAAGACUAUGUAGACUCAAACUGUUAUUUAGGAUAUAGUUUUGAAAAUACUCUGACAAUGCUUAGGGAAAAAAAGGCUAUUGUACAAGAAGAAGAAGAAAAAGUUUUAAGGCAAAGGUCGCUAAACUUUAUUAUUAGUUUAAUAAAAGAAAUUAGACAGAGACUUCCAAAUAACUUUGAUAUUUUAAACAAAAUAUCAAACUUAAGUGUUUCAAAUGCACUUUGCCACAAUAAGAAGUCCAUGGUGCCAUUAUUACAAUAUUUUUCAAAAACUGAAAUGGAAAUUGAUGUUAUUGAAGCUGAGUAGAGAAAAAUCCACUUACUAAAAUGGAAUGAAACAAAAAAUACAAAGAAUUUUUGGUAUGAAGUUACCAAUUUUAAAGAUGCAAAUGAUGAAAAUCCAUUGCAAAGUUUAGCCUCAUUUGCUUUAGAACUUUUGGUAUUACCACACUCCAAUGCUGAAGUUGAAAGGUUGUUCAGCCAACUUAACAUUAUUAAAAAUAAAAUCAGAAAUCGGCUAUACGAGUAUUGUGGUGUAGGUUUACCAGAUAUUGUAGCGUUUUAUUUUUCUACUCCUUAUUUUCACUAACGCUCCAUUGAUAUUUCAUUAAUUUCAAUAAUUAUAUUAAUAAUUUCAGUCAACUUCUUUUAUUCAUAUUUCUUUAAAUUCACACUGUCAAUGACACAUUACUACUGUAACGCAUCACUCUUCUGGUUUAAUUAUUCAUGCUUUCUGUUGACAGUCAGUCACUCUUCUGGUUGGUCUUAAUUAAUGUUUUCUCUGAUUGGCUGAUAUUGACAGCUCAGGCGAGAGGUGGGGUCGUUACUUAUUUAGUCGGUACUGCAUCCAUUUUUCGAGGACUUGUUCCACUUGUUUACGUCUUUAUCUAUGACUUGUUCCCGUGUCGCAGGUAGAACCGCACGUAAAAAGCCAGUUUUUUAUUUCCGAAGUUUGUGAAGCAGGAAGUGGCCAAUAUGGUUUGUAAAUUAUAGUCCUUAAUCUUGUUCCUUUAUGGAACCGUUUAUUUCGUAAUUCUGGUGCAGGAUGCCCAAGAUUUUGAUGGAUAGAGAAUGAAACUUAGCAAGGUGAGUGUGUCACAUUUUUAACGCCAUUCAUUUUUUAUCGACAGUGAAUACAAUGGCAACCGUUGUUUUAGGGUUUUACUUUUCCGUUUUUCUCUUUAUUUUUCUUCAAUUGUUGAUGACUGCAAGCUUUUGAUUUCCCCGAGAAAUUGGUGAAAGCGAUGGAGCUGAAGUUAGAGCUAGAGCUAGUAUUAGAUAUCCCCAGUCCAGAUAGCUGAGCUAAAAAUGGCAUACAUUUACAGCCUCGAUUUUGAAGGCCAGCCGUUCAUUUCUUGGAGGAAUGUACAGGCCAGUCUAUUCCAUUUAUUUAAAUAUUACUAACCAUAGAUUUGUCUCACUUAUUUAAAUUUUUAUUAAUGUACCUUUAAUUUCAAUUUAUUGCUACAAAUAUUUAAUCAAUAUCAUAAUUUAAUAUGUCAAUUUCUUAUCUAUAAUUUUAGUUAUUUUUUGUUCAGUAUUUUUCAGUACCUUUUUUUGGUAGUUACAAGUUGUAAGUAGAUAUAACUCGGUUAAGGCUGAUAUGCCUUAGGUAAAAAGGUUCAUGAACUUUCCCCUGCGUCAUACAAAUAUAUACAAAAACUUUAAUAAUUGCAAUUUAUUUUUCAAGUGCUUAAAUCUACCUAUUAGUGAAAUCAUAAUUUAAAUGUUACUUUUGUCAAACUUAUUUUAAUCAUCUCAACAUUAUUCAUAUUUUAAUUUAUAAUAAAUUAUUAACAUUUAAUAGAUUAGAACAUGAGGUGCAUGCAUAUCUUCGAUGUAAAUAUAAUUUGUUUGUAUUGUUAAGAUAUUUUUUUUGCCUCUUUAAAUCUACUUUAUCCAGAGUCAUUUAAUUGUUAGUUAGUUUUCUCUCAUUUAUAAAAAAAACUAAGUGGCGCCCUCUUAUUUAUUAGUUAUAAUCAAGUUUAGAUUCUUUAAUAGCCAGUCAUAAGACCGGCCAGUUGGGGCAGUUAUUCGCAGUUACAGUCAGUUAGUUGGCAGUUGGCAGUUGGCAGUUGUCAGUCAAAAACGGCAAACCUACUAACCUAAACUGAAGCAGAAUACCAAAAACCAACCAGAAACGGCGGAAAACAGCGCGAACUCGCCCCCCAGUCAGCGGGGGGCCAAACCACCGACGUCAAAGACGCCAGAGCACAAUAGACAAUGAAAACCGAGACGAACUAGAGCGGGGUAAGUCUCUAGCUGGCACUCCUUACCCCGUCCAUAAACCUCUCCUUGAACGGAGAUACCCAAAAACUCCCACCCAGUCCUUAAAUCCUGCCCCAAAGAUGGAAGAAAAUAGUCCAGUAUUCAGUGCUGAGGUCUAUAAAGACAUCUGCACUGCUCUUGAAUUUCAGAUAAAAGACAUGCAAUCGAGCAUUGAAGAAAAAAAAUUUUAAACAUAAAACGCUCGAAAGCGAAAAUGAAAGAUUAAAAAAUAAACUUAAAAACACCGAGGAAGAGAUCGAUCUCCUCAAGGAUCAAGUCCGCAUCUUCAAUGCUCAAUUGCAGGAAACUAAUGAUAACAUGGAGAAAAUAUUAAAAAUAAACGAACAACUCGAAAAUGACAAUAAAAACUUUGCCGAGCAGCUGGGAACGCUGAGGGACCAGCUAAACGAUAAUCAAAAAAUAUAAACACA